GGAGUGGUACUCAAGUGGCUGAAGAGGACGGUUUGCUAAAUCGUUAGACGGGGUGACUCGUGCGUGGGUUCGAAUCCCACCCACUCCGCCA
rnacentral:tRNA from 4 species